UUUUUGGUAAUGGGUGUGAAGACAUGAGAAGACUGCAAACAUUUGUGGAGUUGGUGGUAAAGCUAUGAGGAGAUUCUAAUCUAGCCAAUUUGUUUUUCCCCAAUGACUUUGAAGCAAGAUCCACCUCUGGAAGCAAAGGGAGGUUUGAGGAGAAAAGAAGGCUGCCUUCAAAGUGAGGAUAUCAAGUUGCUUGGUACGAGUCAGUAGUAUUGUGCUGUGCAACCAACAAGAGACUAAAGAAGUGUCUUCUGUGAAGAUAAUAAGGUCUUGCAGCUAAGAACAGAAAUGGUGACUAAGGUUACCGGAAGCGUAGUCAAACAAGCGGUAAAACAAGCUUAGGAGGACGCAUCCAGAGGCUGCUGAAGUACUCAGAAUAUAAAACAGAAAGAGCAAAGGGUCUCUUUAUUAGGCAUGGAAAGAAGAUACUAUUGUGGAUAUGAAUUCUGACUGACUGUCAACUCAUGUCGUUCAUGUCCUUAUAGACAAACCACGGUCGACAUAGAGCCUGUGUUCAUGUUGUUAUACCCAAACCACCAUAACAGCAUGCCAGCACUGAAAAUGAAAGCAUGGGCCAGGGAAAAUAGACUGUAAUAAAAAGAAGGAAAAAAUGUUGAGAAGCU